GGGCUUGACAUCCCACGAACCUGCCUGAAAGGGCGGGGUGCCCGCAAGGGAGCGUGGAGACAGGUGGUGCAUGGCUGUCGUCAGCUCGUGUCGUGAGAUGUUGGGUUAAGUCCCGCAACGAGCGCAACCCUCACCCCUAGUUGCCACCGGGUAAAGCCGAGCACUCGAGGGGAACUGCCAGCGUCAAGCUGGAGGAAGGCGGGGAUGACGUCAAGUCAUCAUGCCCCUUACGCCCUGGGCUACACACGUGCUACAAUGGCCGGUACAAAGGGACGCGAGACCGCGAGGUGGAGCCAAUCCCAAAAAACUGGUCUAAGUUCAGAUUGCAGUCUGCAACUCGACUGCAUGAAGGAGGAAUCGCUAGUAAUCGCGCAUCAGCACGGCGCGGUGAAUACGUUCCCGGGCCUUGUACACACCGCCCGUCACACCACGAAAGCCGGCUGUACUCGAAGUCGCUGAG
rnacentral:rRNA from 1 species